GGUUUCCGUAGGUGAACCUGCGGAAGGAUCAUUACCUAGAGUUUGUAGGCUUUGCCUGCUAUCUCUUACCCAUGUCUUUUGAGUACCUUCGUUUCCUCGGCGGGUCCGCCCGCCGAUUGGACAACCAUAAACCAUUUGCAGUUGCAAUCAGCGUCUGAAAAAACUAUAAUAGUUACAACUUUCAACAACGGAUCUCUUGGUUCUGGCAUCGAUGAAGAACGCAGCGAAAUGCGAUAAGUAGUGUGAAUUGCAGAAUUCAGUGAAUCAUCGAAUCUUUGAACGCACAUUGCGCCCCUUGGUAUUCCAUGGGGCAUGCCUGUUCGAGCGUCAUUUGUACCUUCAAGCUCUGCUUGGUGUUGGGUGUUUGUCUCGCCUCUGCGCGUAGACUCGCCUCAAAACAAUUGGCAGCCGGCGUAUUGAUUUCGGAGCGCAGUACAUCUCGCGCUUUGCACUCAUAACGACGACAUCCAAAAGUACAUUUUUACACUCUUGACCUCGGAUCAGGUAGGGAUACCCGCUGAACUUAAGCAU
rnacentral:rRNA from 1 species